AACGAACGCUGGCGGCAGGCCUAACACAUGCAAGUCGAACGCCGUAGCAAUGCGGAGUGGCAGACGGGUGAGUAACACGUGGGAACGUACCCUUCGGUUCGGAAUAACUCAGGGAAACUUGAGCUAAUACCGGAUACGUCCGAGAGGAGAAAGAUUUAUCGCCGAGGGAUCGGCCCGCGUCUGAUUAGCUUGUUGGUGAGGUAACGGCUCACCAAGGCGACGAUCAGUAGCUGGUCNGAGAGGAUGAUCAGCCACAUUGGGACUGAGACACGGCCCAAACUCCUACGGGAGGCAGCAGUGGGGAAUAUUGGACAAUGGGCGCAAGCCUGAUCCAGCCAUGCCGCGUGAGUGAUGAAGGCCCUAGGGUUGU
rnacentral:rRNA from 1 species